rnacentral:rRNA from 1 species
CCUACGGGAGGCAGCAGUGAGGAAUAUUGGUCAAUGGACGAGAGUCUGAACCAGCCAAGUAGCGUGAAGGAUGACUGCCCUAUGGGUUGUAAACUUCUUUUAUAUGGGAAUAAAAUGCUCCACGUGUGGGAUUUUGUACGUACCAUAUGAAUAAGGCUCGGCUAACUCCGUGCCAGCAGCCGCGGUAAUACGGAGGAUCCGAGCGUUAUCCGGAUUUAUUGGGGUUAAAGGGCGCGUAGGUGGAUUGUUAAGUCAGUUGUGAAAGUUUGGGGCUCAACCGUCAGAUUGCAGUUGAAACUGGGAGUCUUGAGUACAGUAGGGGUAGGCGGAAUUCGUGGUGUAGCGGUGAAAUGCUUAGAUAUCACGAAGAACUCCGAUUGCGAAGGCAGUUCACUGGACUGCAACUGACGCUGAGGCUCGAAAGUGUGGGUAUCAAACAGGAUUAGAUACCCGUGUAGUC